CCUUACCAGGUCUUGACAUCCUCUGACAACCCUAGAGAUAGGGCUUUCCCUUCGGGGACAGAGUGACAGGUGGUGCAUGGUUGUCGUCAGCUCGUGUCGUGAGAUGUUGGGUUAAGUCCCGCAACGAGCGCAACCCUUGAUCUUAGUUGCCAGCAUUCAGUUGGGCACUCUAAGGUGACUGCCGGUGACAAACCGGAGGAAGGUGGGGAUGACGUCAAAUCAUCAUGCCCCUUAUGACCUGGGCUACACACGUGCUACAAUGGACAGAACAAAGGGCUGCGAGACCGCAAGGUUUAGCCAAUCCCACAAAUCUGUUCUCAGUUCGGAUCGCAGUCUGCAACUCGACUGCGUGAAGCUGGAAUCGCUAGUAAUCGCGGAUCAGCAUGCCGCGGUGAAUACGUUCCCGGGCCUUGUACACACCGCCCGUCACACCACGAGAGUUUGCAACACCCGAAGUCGGUGAGGUAACCUUUAUGGAGCCAGCCGCCGA
rnacentral:rRNA from 1 species